UGGCAUUAGACUGGAAAUUCUCUGAAGUCUAAGUAUGAAGAUUAUAAUGAAAAUUGAUUCCUGCGCUCAGUAUAUUUUCUGGAUUUUUGUUUGUUUGUUUUUGAUGCUAUGUACUGUACUUGUCACUAAAUUCUGAUUUUUGUGAAUUUUAUACUAGCACAUUAUUGUGAAGGAAGCCAUUUCUAAACAGGGGAAGUUGCAGUACUGAUUUGGUGCAUCCACAGAAAUGUGUACAUCUAUUCCUGUGUUGCCAGUAAAGUGAGCAGUGGUUUUGUUUGCCGUUUGGGAAUUACUGCCAGAAACAUUUAAAUGAGAACUUUUGUUUCAUGUUCUCCUUACAGCACAUAGGUACACAGACCCUUCAUAGAUGCUUUGUAACAAGGUUGUGAGGUGUUUUCUGCGAGCUGCUCUUAGAAUUACUGCCAUUGAGUUAUCCUGUAUUUUAGAGGGAUCAGAACUGUGUCAGUGUGGAGGUCAGCUGGUUUUCUUGGUAGCAGAGACAUGCUAAAAAUGGACCACAAUACUAAAAAUGUAAACUGUAGGAAUAUGGAAAAUGUGUAGAAGACCUGACUUCAUGUAAUGCUAUAGGAGGAGGCUUUGGUUUGAAAAGUAGGUCUGUAGAAACAAACUGCUCUCAAGAGUACUGCAAAAGGUAUAAAUUGUAAUGUUCUGCAAGGAUAUAAAUCAACGUACUGUGAUCAUUUAAGAAAAAGGAUUCUGUGCUUCACUCAGAAGAGUAUUUUCUUUAGCACUCUGUGUGAUUCUUGGGUACUCUGUUUCUACUUUCCUUCUUGGGAUGACUUGUUGUUUAUUAUUCCCUUGAGGUAAAGGGCAGAGAGAUUAUUCUGAAAAAUAAUUGAAGUAUUCUUUAGUAUUAUUGGAGCUUUUUCUUUAAGAACACACAAGCAAGUAAACAAACAGAAAUACUCCCAGAUUACACAUGUUCAGAAUUUGAUUCUGAAGAAAAAAAAAAAAAAUAAAGUGUGAGUCAUAUUUGGUAUUUCAGAAAUACCUGAAACUUUUAACUUCUAAAUUAAUUCUUUUAACUUCUAAAUUAAUACAAGUUAUUUGGAUUUGCUGUGAUUAAAAUAGUCUUAAUCAGACAAGUUCCUAUGGCUUAACUGGCCCAGUCAUUUCAUUUCUCCUGAUACAUAAAAUACUGGAACUGUGGAAUGGAUCCAGAGGAGACCAUGAAGAUACUCAGAUGGCUGGAGCAGUUCUCCUGUCAAGAAGGGCUGAGAGCUGAGUUUCUUUGGCCUGGAGAAGAGAAUACACAAACAUUAAUUCUGCUUAGCGCAAGUGAGUGGGUUCCUUUCCUCAGCACCAGCACAGCAGGCUCAGCAGUUGUAAGCUCCUUUUGGGAAGCUGGGCAGAUAGGUGGCCGGUGGCUGUUUGUGCUACCUGGUGGAGGAAUGGGUUCCACCACCUUUGGGGCUUUCAUCUGCAGCCGAAGGUAGGCAGGGGCACGUCCCGUCGCAUCGCUGUGUGGAGUGCGCUGGUUCUACUCCCGCAGUGAUGUGGUGUAGGCCCGCCGACGCGUGCCUGGGUUCCCCUCCCCGCAUGCAGACGGACACGGGUGCUGGCAGAGGUGGGUGGUGCCAGCAGUCGCGGGACGGCACGGGAGCUGGUGCUGUGAAAACUGAAACCACAGCCUGCGGGGUGCUGGUGAUAGUACUAGCCUCGCCAGAGCGUUUUUGCUGGGAGCAGAAGGCCUGCCUGUAACAUGGAGUGGUUAAGUAUGCCAGGCAUGCAGAACUAGCAGAAAAAUCUGUUCCUGAUCUUGGACUUCCAGAAUGGCUUGUUCCAUGGAUGAGUCCCAGUGUUGUCACGGAUCAGCCAGUGCUGUCUCACAACAUUGCUGCUAUAAUUUUAAUCCUUAGGUGGACACUCCCAGUUUCAAAUCUAGGCGAAGCUGUGUUGCGUUAAAGUUGGUGGAUCUUGGAGGAUGGGAAAUGGGCGAGGAGAAGAGUCACAGUGAAACCUCUGUCUCCAGAAAGCAAAGGAACUUCCUUUGUGAGGGAGUUAGCCCUCUGUGUGUCAUUGUCUUCAUUUUUGCUCUUGUUUUCCUGAGCUAGAACAUGGACUCAUAGACAUUUGGGAUUUUGUUGAGAUUGUCUUCUGCAAAAAGAAGAAUCUAACAGGAAGGCAGGAAGGUUUGUGGCCUUGUGAACUCACUCCUCAGGAGCUCAGAAGCCAUAAUGACACUACAUGAAGUAAUCUAUCUUCCUGUCUUUAUGUCUUGAAGUGCUGAAAGUUGUAAUCCUUAGAGUAGAACCUCUCUGAAGCAUGACAGGACCUCACAGGGAAGGAUAUCUUAUAUUUUUUGACGCGAGGCUAAUGUGCUCAUUCACUCUAGAACAUGCAUGGGACUAUACUGAAGCAAGUUUUGCUGUUCCUAAGUUAAGAACGUAUCCUGAAAUUAAGAAAUGUAUUAAUCUGGUUUUUUUAAGUUGGAAUUGUGAAUUAAUUUUGAACUCCCUUCCUUCGUUCCUUCCUUCCAAGUUACGGAGUAUUAUUAUGAGUUGAUAUUUUAAAGACAAAAAUUUACUAAAUUUCCUUGUGUUAAUUUUUGUUUCUUCUGUCUUAUUUUCCCAUAGUUUUGAUAUCUAACACCUUUGUCAGAUCAACAAUGCAUGUAUCAGUUCACAGUGCUUUGUUAAUAAUACUUUUAUUCUGAGCCCAGUCUCUAAUGAACAGUAUUCCUCUAUAGUUCUUGUGACCACUGGCUGACCAUUAUGUGUAUUGCUUGGUUUGAUAUUGUAAGAAAAAUAAUCAAGCUCAAAACCUUGGAGAGCAUUAGUUUUAUGAUGAGGUCUUUUACAUUAUAUGGUUUAGCUUUUUAAGCCCCCCUACCUUAAAGACUGCUGGUUUGAUUUGGAAUUUACAGUUUCUAUUCCUGCCCUCCUGAGACGGGACUUUGCGUGCUAUCCCUUGGUUGUACUGCAGACCAAGUGGCAAAAAACCUAGCCGAACACAGCAGCUGCAUGCACGUGGUUGGCACCCUGUUCCUUGUUUUUCUGGUGUUUUCUUAUCAGCAUGCAGUAUGCUACUGCAGAUAGCUUCAGAACAUUCUAUUGUUUGAAAUCAUACACAGAAAUGGCAAUAGUUACAAUAAUUACAGCUAUUAGCUCUCCAGUGAACACCUCUAUAUAGAAAAAUAUGGAGGCGGGAAGAGAGUUUUUUAACUACCUAUGAAAAAAGAGAGCUACUCUGAUGAGUACAUACACUAAUGUAAUGCAGUAAUUUGUUGUGCUCGGUGGGAACCUGAGUAGAGUGGUGACAGUGUUGUUACCCUGCUUCUAAAACUUGAACAUGACUGAA